UUUCUCUCAUAAAAAUGAUCCUGCUACGUCCUUCUUAUAUUCUUUCCACCAGAGUUCAGCAAGGGCAGGCUGAAGAUUAAAAUCUCUUUCUGUGCAGAAGGCUUGCAAUACUUCUGAUUUUUGAAGUGAUUAGAAUUUCAUUUCUCACUGUAAUCUCCCCACCUACCCUUUUCCUUUCUUUCUUUUCUAUUAGAGCCACUCGCCCUAUACAUAACAACUAUGGAUGGGGAGAAAAUGGAUCAGGAGAAGGAGACAUUCAUUAGAAAAAUCAUGCUUUCACCUGCUUUCCAGUCCUUGAAAAACAAGUGGUACAAAUUAAAAGCAACCAACAGAAAUGGAACAGAGUCCACAGAGGCACUCAUUGGCCAUAGGAAGUUUCUUCUGGACAAGGUGUGGUAGUGGAUGCUGUUUCCCCGUCCGCCCUCUGGUGUCGAAGCAAGAUUCAGUCAGCUUCUAUGCGUGGAAUGGGAGAUGCCACCUUGUCCCUUACCUCAGACUGCAAAAUGUCGUGGGUUGGCUCUGGACUCGGGCUUUGGGAUCCUGCAUGAAUAAAGCCUUUGAGCUCCAGAAGCUGUUAUUACUUCCAUCUAAUUCACCCAAGCUGCAAGAUCUGCUAUCAGUUCUUUGUAUAACUGAACAAAGCUAGAUGCUGUUGUAAGGGUUGGCCCAAAGAUGAACAUGAAUGAAAUGAAGAGGAGAAGCUGGGGCAGAUGAGGCAAUGGGUGUGGGUGAGCAUCUCAAUGGAGAGAGAGAGGAAGAGAGCAAAAGCCCAGGAAAAGGAAAGCCAGGCAAAACCAGGGCUCCUUACAAGUACGUCCUCCUACCUCUACCUUGCAAUCAGAGAAGUUGGCUCAAUUCCUGUUGCCUGAACAAGCUGGCUUGCUUCCAGAAUGAGCUACAUGGAUACCUAUUUGUGCACAAAGCCAUGUUUGUCGCUCCUGCAAGGUUUGGUUUCAACCAAGAAAGUGCAGUAUCCAUGUGCAAAGUGGCUUUCCAUCACCAAUGAACAACCACAGCCAAACACACCUGGGAUUAGAAAGGGGGGGGGGUUCCAGUUCACUGUGUGUGAGAGGCUGUCUAGACCAGCAAAACUACUAUUGGGCUAUAUAUUUCAGACUGGUGCUCAUUAUUCGCACCACUACUCUUUUGGUCC